AUGCUCCUGUUUAAGCUGGAUAUAGCCAAGGCUUUCGACUCGAUCUUGUGGGAAUACCUACUGGAGUUGCUACAAAAUCUAGGCUUCUCGCUCAGGUGGCGCAACUGGAUCUCCGCUAUAUUGGCCUCGUCGUCCUCUGUCCUCCUCCUCAAUGGAUCCCCAUGCCCAAUUAUACAACACUUCCGUGGCCUGCGGCAGGGGGACCCCCUGUCCCCGUUCUUGUUCAUCUUGGCGAUCGACACGCUCCACCGUGUUCUC
rnacentral:rRNA from 1 species